rnacentral:rRNA from 1 species
UACGUAGGGUGCAAGCGUUUGUCCGGAAUUAUUGGGCGUAAAGAGCUCGUAGGCGGUCUGUCGCGUCGGCUGUGAAAUCCCGGAGCUCAACUCCGGGUCUGCAGUCGAUACGGGCAACUGGAGUACUGCAGGGGAGACUGGAAUUCCUGGUGUAGCGGUGAAAUGCGCAGAUAUCAGGAGGAACACCGGUGGCGAAGGCGGGUCUCUGGGCAGUAACUGACGCUGAGGAGCGAAAGCGUGGGGAGCGAACAGG